CGGGGCAGGGGCCGCACGAAGGUGUCCCAGGCCAGCAGCGCGUCCGAGAAGGCGAAGAGCAGCGCGCCCCGGCCGGCGCCGCCACGGCGGGCCAGGCCGCGCCAGAGCACGAGCGCCAUCAGCAGCGAGCAGCGGGACCUGGGAGAACCUGCGCACUCAGCGGUACUCUAACAGCCAAGAGGUGGCAACCACCCAGCGGCCCUCCACGGAGGAAGGGAGAAACGGACUGUGAGCCAUCGGCACAACCCUAAAGAGGCGGCGGACAUCGGGCGUGAACCUUGAAGACACGGUAUUGAGUGAAAUCAGCCAGACACCAGAGGACGAAUAUCGUAUGAUCUCAACGACCAGGAAUGAUUAGAAUGAGCCAGUUCAUAGAAGAGAAGGUCACGAGGGCGGAGGAGUAAUGCCUAAUGGGCAUGAGUAAGGAUGGUGGUGACCGCAGCACAUCACUGGGAAUAUAACUCAUGCCACUCAGGUGUACACUUGAAAGAGGUUAAAAUGGGGACAUCUGGGUUAUAGCUGUUAGAAUACAAAUUUUAAAAAUAGUCAAAGGUUGAAUACAGCUGAGGUCAGCAAAAUAAAUUUUCUUUAAUGCA